UACAGAGGUCUCAAGCGAUGUUCGGAUUCAUUGGGCGUAAAGGGUGCGUAGGCGGCGCGGUAAGUCGGGUGUGAAAUCUUGGAGCUUAACUCCGAAACUGCAUUCGAUACUGCCGUGCUUGAGGACUGGAGAGGAGACUGGAAUUUACGGUGUAGCGGUGAAAUGCGUAGAUAUCGUAAGGAAGACCAGUGGCGAAGGCGGGUCUCUGGACAGUUCCUGACGCUGAGGCACGAAGGUCAGGGGAGCAAACGGG
rnacentral:rRNA from 1 species